rnacentral:rRNA from 3 species
AUUUGGAGAGGAUGCUUUUGGCGCGGCGCCGUCCGAGUUCCUUGGAACAGGACGCCACAGAGGGUGAGAGCCCCGUACGGACGGACGCCUAGCCUCUACAAAGCUCCUUCGACGAGUCGAGUAGUUUGGGAAUGCUGCUCAAAAUGGGAGGUAAAUUUCUUCUAAAGCUAAAUACCGGCCAGAGACCGAUAGCGCACAAGUAGAGUGAUCGAAAGAUGAAAAGCACUUUGAAAAGAGGGUUAAAAAGUACGUGAAAUUGUUGAAAGGGAAGCGCCUGUGACCAGACUUGCGCCCCGUGGACCAUCCGGCGUUCUCGCCGGUGCACUCUGCGGGGCGCAGGCCAGCAUCGGUUCUCCUAGGGGGAUAAAGGCCGCGGGAACGUAGCUCCUUCGGGAGUGUUAUAGCCCGCGGUGGCAUGCCCCUGGGGGGACCGAGGACCGCGCUUCGGCAAGGAUGCUGGCGUAAUGGUCACCAGCGACCCGUCUUGAAACACGGACCAAGGAGUCAAGCAUUGGGGCGAGUGUAUGGGUGCCAAACCCGCACGCGAAAUGAAAGUAAACGCAGGUGAGAGCUUCGGCGCAUCAUCGACCGAUCCUGAUGUCUUCGGAUGGAUUUGAGUAAGAGCCUUACCGCUUGGACCCGAAAGAUGGUGAACUAUGCCUGAAUAGGGUGAAGCCAGAGGAAACUCUGGUGGAGG